rnacentral:rRNA from 1 species
UACGGGGGGGGCAAGCGUUGUUCGGAAUGACUGGGCGUAAAGGGCGCGUAGGCGGCUCAUACAGUCAGAUGUGAAAUUCCUGGGCUUAACCUGGGGGCUGCAUUUGAUACGUGUGGGCUUGAGUGGGGAAGAGGGUCGUGGAAUUCCCAGUGUAGAGGUGAAAUUCGUAGAUAUUGGGAAGAACACCGGUGGCGAAGGCGGCGACCUGGUCCUUGACUGACGCUGAGGCGCGAAAGCGUGGGGAGCAAACAGG